rnacentral:rRNA from 1 species
AUUGAACGCUGGCGGCAUGCCUUACACAUGCAAGUCGAACGGUAACAGGUUAAGCUGACGAGUGGCGAACGGGUGAGUAAUAUAUCGGAACGUGCCCAGUCGUGGGGGAUAACUGCUCGGAAGAGCAGCUAAUACCGCAUACGACCUGAGGGUGAAAGCGGGGGAUCGCAAGACCUCGCGCGAUUGGAGCGGCCGAUAUCAGAUUAGGUAGUUGGUGGGGUAAGAGCCCACCAAGCCAAAGAUCUGUGGCUGGUCUGAGAGGACGACCAGCCACACUGGUACUGGGACACGGCCCAGACUCCUACGGGAGGCAGCAGUGGGGAAUUUUGGACAAUGGGCGCAAGCCUGAUCCAGCCAUGCCACGUGCGGGAAGAAGGCCUUCGGGUUGUAAACCGCUUUUGUCAGGGAAGAAAAGGUUCUGGUUAAUACCUGGGACUCAUGACGGUACCUGAAGAAUAAGCACCGGCUAACUACGUGCCAGCCGCCGCCGUAA